rnacentral:rRNA from 1 species
AUUGAACGCUGGCGGCAGGCCUAACACAUGCAAGUCGAGCGAGCGGCGGACGGGUGAGUAAUGUAUGGGGACUGCCCGAUAGAGGGGGAUAACUACUGGAAACGGUGGCUAAUACCGCAUACUAUUGGAUAACCCAUAUGGGAUUAGCUAGUAGGUGGGGUAAAGGCUCACCUAGGCGACGAUCCCUAGCUGGUCUGAGAGGAUGAUCAGCGACACUGCGACUGAGACACGGCGCAGUGGGCUACGUGGGCAGCAGGGGGAAAUAUUGCGCAAUGGUCGCAAGCGUGAUGCAGCCGCGCCGGGUGUAUGAAGAAGGCCUUAGGGUUGUAAAGUACUUUCACCAACGACGCGGUAGAUGGAGAAGAAGCACCGGCUAACUACGUGCCAGCAGCCGCGGUAAUAC